rnacentral:rRNA from 1 species
UACGAAGGGGGCUAGCGUUGUUCGGAAUCACUGGGCGUAAAGGGCGCGUAGGCGGCUGUUCAAGUCGGGGGUGAAAGCCUGUGGCUCAACCACAGAAUUGCCUUCGAUACUGGACGGCUGGAGACCGGAAGAGGUCAGUGGAACUGCGAGUGUAGAGGUGAAAUUCGUAGAUAUUCGCAAGAACACCAGUGGCGAAGGCGGCUGACUGGUCCGGUUCUGGACGCUGAGGCGCGAAAGCGGUGGGGAGCAAACAGG